CUUCAUAGUUCUGUCACAGCUAGAAGCCUCAAAUAAUUCUGCUUCUCUGGCUAAAGAACAACUUGUCCUUUACAUUCAGAGUGUUGGUAAAACUGGGUACUUAAAUGGCCCUAAAGAUGUUUCACUUUGCUGCCAUUGCAGCGAUGAACAUCAUACAUGGACUCUUAAGGAAAGAAUUUUCAGCAUACUGGGAACGCAAUUAUCAACAAUGCAACAUUCUACGGGUGCUAUUUUAUCAUUCAAGAGCCUUAUACAAUGAUUUUCGUCCACCACCUGACAGUGUGUUAAAUUUAAAUUCUGUUAGUGCUGCACUAAAAGAAUCGUUAGUAAUAAGUCCAUGCAGCGAAGGAAUUGAACAAUUGUGGGACCGUAUUUGGGCCGAAAAUGAAUGUGGUACGGAAACCGAGAUAUGGCACGAGUUCAACAUAAAACAUGGAUUAGAAUUUUAGCAGGGGAUCAAGUCAAGUCUGGAAGUGUUACAGGAUGGAAGAGUCAGCCUACAAUUGAAAAAACACAGAGUGCAUUACCAUUAAGCAAUCCUUUAUAGUUCUGUCACAGCUAGAAGCCUCAAAUAAUUCUGCUUCCCUUGCUAAAGAACAACUUGUUCUUUACGCCCAGAGUGUUGGUGAAGCUGGGUACUUAAAUGGCCCUAAAGAUGUUUCACUUCACUGGCAUUGCAGCGAUGAACAUCAUACAUGGACUCUUUAGGAAAGGAUUUUCAGCAUACUGGGAACACAACUAUCAACCAUGCAACAUUCUACGGGUGUUAUUUUAUCAUUCAAGAGCCUUAUACAAUGAUUUUCAUCUACAAUUUGUAUUGCCUUUCCCGAACUUCUGUCAGAAGUUGAAUCUAUAAGUCAUGUAAGUCACAUGAGCAACAAUUGAGAUGCUUAAUGGUGUUGUUUUUCUUUUCUCAGUGUAGGUUAAUAGUAACAUUGGAUCUGAAAAAAUUCUUGGUUGGGGCAUGACACUGUAUAAAUUGUAAUGAUUGGAUGGAUGACAUGAUAUUUCUAUACUUCAUUCGGAUUCCCGAGACGGUAUUUUAUAUUUAAAAAAUUGAAGUGCAUAUCUGGGCUCCCUUCCUUUCCGUAGCCCCGUUUCCCCUUGACUCGUAAUAAGCCCGUAGGGGGUCAUGCCCCUACUGUACGGUAUAUAUAAAAAUAACAUAUACCGAGGUUUGGAGGGCUCUGGCCGGAAAGGGGACGUGGGGGUCCGCUUAGUCCGAUGAUGUGUUCACGGAGGGCUCUGUGGCUACCCACAAAUCCGAACUAAAGGUUAAUCGCUCCUGUAAAAAUGUUCCAAAUCUUCAGCUCUUCUUCCGGCUUCUCUUAGCCAAUCACCGGGUAAUCUCCCCGGUGGGUCAACAAGGCAGUGUCUCCCCCUGCCUGGGUUGACGGCAACUUUUGAAAGGGC